UCUUGCGCAAUGGGGGCAACCCUGACGCAGCGACGCCGCGUGAGCGAUGAAGGCCUUCGGGUUGUAAAGCUCUGUGGAGAGGGACGAAUAAGUGCCACCUAAUACGUUGCAUGAUGACGGUACCUCUUUAGCAAGCACCGGCUAACCUUGUGCCAGCAGCCGCGGUAAGACAGAGGGUGCAAACGUUGUUCGGAAUUACUGGGCGUAAAGCGCGUGUAGGCGGCAAUACAAGUCGGAUGUGAAAUCCCGCGGCUUAACCGUGGAAGUGCACCCGAAACUGUAUCGCUAGAGUCCCGGAGAGGAUGGUGGAAUACUUGGUGUAGAGGUGAAAUUCGUAGAUAUCAAGUGGAACACCGGUGGCGAAGGCGGCCAUCUGGACGGUGACUGACGCUGAGACGCGAAAGCGUGGGUAGCAAACAGG
rnacentral:rRNA from 1 species